UGUGGACCGCGCGCAGGCGUCGCGCGAUAAAGUUCAUUAGCGGACCGAACUCGAACGCCACUCAAUACCGCGCCAACGUAAUAUCGGCGUACAUUAUGCAAAACGCGGCGGAAAUAUUGUACGGGCACGCCGUACCGUAAGUAUAAAUUAUGUAUAUAUAUAUAUAUAUAUAAAAAACCCAUACAAUUGACGUGAGUGUCGGAAAAAAAUCUACGCAUAAAUACGUUGUAAAUACGAAUGGGUAUCCGAUAAAUAGCAAAAAAAAAAAAAACCGUUUCGAUAUUUUUAAAAGGUCACGGUGAAUUUUGUUAUUCUUCCUUUAAAUUAUUAUCCAAAUAAAAAAAAAAAAAAAAAAAAAAAAACCGUUUAAUUUCGGGUACACGUGACGCGUCCCGAGACGAACGCACGGAUUUUCGGCGGACAAUAUAAUAAUAAUAUUAUUUUACUGUCCGGCGUCCGACAUAAAUUACAAUCAUACGAGCGGGUACCGCGCGUACGUACAGCGCGUACUGUAAUACGCGAUUCGGUGUAUUUCAUUUUUUAUUAGUCGAUCGGCCGUAAUAUACCGACAUAAUUGCCGAGUGCGAGCCGUGCAUGUGUAAUAAUAAUAUUCGAACGAAACUGACAAAUUUAAUAUUUUACUCGAUAAUGACCGCCGUUUAACGCAACUCUCUCUCUCUCUCUCUCUCUCUCACACUGAACAAAAGCGUUUCCCAACCUUUCCCGGACCGCAUACGCACAGUGUCGAUAUCGAAAACGUGAUUCGACACGUACGCGCGCGAACACGGAAUCCGCGGAUGGAAAAUGAAUACGCCCGCGCGCGCGAGACGCGCAGGCGUGUUGUCAAUACACUACGAUGUAUCAAUAAUAUCGAUGUAUGCGCGCGUGUUUAUUAUCCCGUGUUUUCGCGUUGUUCACGCGAAAUAGGAAACACCAGUGUGCGGUGCACUCCACCUUGUUUGGGGGGGGGAAAUUUUUUUUCGAUUCGGCGUUUAUAAGUCAACACAGGAUCGCUUUCAUCGCACGUCCGUUAAAUCACUACAGGUAUCUGUUUUUGUUCGCCAUUACCGUAAUGGUCAACGCGAUUUCCGAGCUUGGCUUCACUUUUGAAAUUCCCGCUUGGAAAUACUGUUGCUCGGAGAGUUGCGCACAUAGCAACUGCACGCGCGUCGUCGAAUGACCAUUCGCCACGCUAAAUUUAUUAUUUCUUUAUCUUUUGUGUAAACAAAUUUUUUUGGCGGACCACCAACAACAGACCUGCGGACCACUGUACCGGUUCGGAACCACUGCAGCUCUACAAUUUACUGCACUGCACUCGACGACGGUAAUAUUAACAAACGUUCUUUUUGUUUUUUUCGUUAUACGAGUACACAUGCAAAACUCGUUCAAUUAAAAAUAAUAUGUUUUUAUAAAUCCCAAUCAUGGCCUUCGCCGUAAUACUCUACGGUAGCCGUUUUUAUUAUCGUCUGCGGUAAAUAUCAAUGGGCGCAGUUAAAUUAAUUGCCAUACCCCGCUCGUGUACGAUAAAUAUCCGGGUUAUCCGCGGAUAAAUCGUCCGUAAUCCGGUACACGAUUACAGACAAUAUGUCGUCAGACUGAUUUUUAACGAUGAUAUUGCGUAGAAAUGUAGAAAAUACACACUAAUUUAUUAUUGCGAUCACGGCAUAACGCUUUUGUGCAGUGCUUGAAUUGGAAAGAUAAAAGAAGGGGCCGACUGUGAGACGUUUAAAAAAAAUUUGCGUCCAUUUCUUGAAUGAUUGUCUUCAACCUGAUCCGCGGUGGGUUUCGUAUAAAAAAAAAACAAAAACAAAAAGAGCUAAUAGUGCUGAUGGCUACUGCUGUAGAUGAGAAGUAACAACUACUGUUGUUAUUAUGUAAGAUGCAUGUAGUUACAUCAUAUUUGUCUGUACGCAACGAUACGCGAUUGCAAAGUACAGUUGAAUACGUUUUAAAAAACCGAUAUUUUUGUAAUCAGAAUAUCGAAUACCUAUACAUAAUAUAAUAAUAUACACCUAUGUGUCAGUAAAAAUGAGAAAAAACAAAAUAAAAUAAUAAAAUUGUUAUUACGUAACAUAUUUGUCCGUUGUUUCCGGAUUAUUAAGAAAACCGCAUUGGAAAUCAAUUCAUUACGUUGCUUACGGGUAAAAAAACUAAAACAAACGCGUCACGGUAAAAUCAAUACAUUCCUCGUUGCGUUCAGAAUUUGAAAAUUUCGAUCACGAUAAAGUAGCGUUUUUUCAAAAAGCGUUUCGAGUUGGGUUUUUAAUGAAAAUCAUAAAAAUCGAGACUUUUCUACGCGUAUGUUAAACAGAACUUCGCUCAGAAUCGUUUUUCGUUAACGACCGUAAACGCGCGUUGUGCUCAGAUUUACAAUGACAGCACUCGUUCUGAAAGGAAAUCUGACUGAGGCGAUACUCUAAUGAGGUCAUUUUUCGAUUUUCCCGGGAGUUUUCCCAAUAAAUGUGAAAAAUCGGUGAAACGCGGGGAAAAAAACGUGGGAAAAACGGAAAAACAGUCGCAGUAUUAGAAAAAAAAAAAAAAAAAAAAACGCAUAUUAUGCGAUUGUUUUUUACCCGACGUGUAUAAUAUUGUCGACAAAGCAACACUGUCCACCGAAUAACCCGCUCAGGAUCGUCUUUUCGUUAGCAAUGUCGUUAUUACCGUCGCUCACGGACGUACAUCGAAUUUUCCCUCUACCACACGCUCGCCCGACCGUCGCGUCCGUAACCGUGACCGCGCCCGUCCCCGUUAUCCCAGGCCGACGAAACGCGCGAAAUCGUGCACGUCACGCCCCCCCCUCUCCCCCUCCCCGUACAAUAUUACGACGUUCGCGGGCGGUUCCGGACGGUUUCGCCGGACGCGAUAUUAUUGCAGUAAGCGUUCGGUAACGCGCGGUGAUCACGAUACGCGUAAUGACGCGCGGCGUGGUGCGGGUAUCCGUCGCGCCGGCGUUCCGCAAUCGUCCGACGGCCCGGGGCACCGCGCCUCGGCGGCGGGCGCGUCAUGACUCGUUUACACGACAAUAACAAUUGUUACCGUCGGCGGUAUCCGCGGUAUCCGCGGUAUUCCCGGUAACCGCGGUCAGGAAUGCCUCGUCGAAACCGCGGAACGAUGACGCCGGCGGCGGCGUUACGUAACGCAUUCAUACGUGUAAACGCGCGUUGCGUGUACGCACGCGUGCAGUGUAAAGGCGCUGAACGGCGCCGAAAAAUAGCGACGGGCCCGAACGUAUUCGCGCGUUUCUCGUUCAACAUGCGCGGCCGCGCGUCCCGUACAAAUAAUAGUAGCGUCGUACCUCGUAUUACAUUGUGUCGGGCGUGGCCUGCUGAUUCCCGGUGCCGAUAAUACGGAAUUUGAAUAUUUUGUCGAUUUCGACCGAUUAUUCGCGUUUCGAAGUUUUCCGGUUGUAGACGAGAGGAGGCGUCGAGCGACGAGAACGUGUUGUGACCCGUACUCACUAUACAAUAUCGUGUGUACUUCACUAUGCGUACGACGCGCUCUUCGCUGUUAAAAUGUAAUAAACACCGUGAACCGACGACGACGGUUCGAUGUUCCUCAUAUCGAACCGUCGUCAUCUCUGUUGGCAUUUAAAAAAAAAAAAAAAAAAAUUAGUUAAAACUAAUAAAAAACUUAUAAAAAAAAAAAAAUCAUGUCCGACAAACCCAAUCUUCGAGCGCGUCAAGUUCACGGUUUCUAAACGUGUUUAAAACUAUCGACUAUAAAUACAAUUUCGAAAAAAUUCGGUAAACCCAUUAUUGUAAAUUACGCAUUUAGGCGUAUGCGUAGAAACCUAAAUAAAUGAAACGAUGGAGGUGCGAUCGAGAUUUUCCGGGACAAAAAUUUGGUGGGCGGGUAGGCGGUUGGCAUCACCGGAACUGAGCAGUUAUGAUUUUUUCAGUUGCCGUCGGAUUCUGGAUGACUUUUUGACGGACAAACUAAUAAUCCGUUUCAGGGGGGUGGGUGGGUUGAAAAUAUUGUACCGUCCCGCCAAUUAAAAUUGUCCGCGCCGCCGUCAAAAUGAAAUAUCUUAAUUAUUCGUAAAUGGUCGACUGGAUAUUUUUUUAAAUUCUUAGAGUAUAUUUUAGUUAGUAUUUUUUUUUUUUUUUUUUUUACAUUGGUUAAUAUGAAUUUAUAUUUAAUGUUCAUACUUAAAUCGAAAAGUACACGGCAGACUGUAGAGACCGGUUCUCGGUUACUUAUCUCGCCGCACUUAAAAUAAACACCAUUGUAAAACUACAUUAUGAUAAUUAUCGUUUAUUUUUUUUUUUUUUUUUUUUUAUAGAUUCUGAGCGAAACAAGAAGUGUAUUGGUUGUGUGAUAAUAAUAUACAGAUGAGCUGAACUACAGCACGAUUCGGAAACAAUUUUCGACUGAUGGCGGUGGUGUACCUCGUUAAAAUAAUGUCAUGGACGGGCGGGUGGUACAUGCGCAUCCUGUCGGUCUACACUACGACGAGUCGUCACCAGUAGGUAAAAUAUGAUUUCUGACCUGCCGAACCUGCUGGUACUGUUUGUGUUUUUUUUUUUUUAUUACUCGUAAACAAUUUUUCAUACCGAAAAUCUUGUUCGAAUCAAAAACUUUAUUGGAAUAAUCGCGUAGCAUUUUUGAUCUAUAGCUGUUAAUUAGUUAGGUCAAGUUUUGAUUUUCUUUGUAUAAUUUUGUUAAAAUAAAAUGGGACAAACUGCGUAGUUUUUGUGUAGGCACAUCUUGGUUAUCUUCCGAUUUUCCUCCUAUGAACCAGUGACACACCCAUCAACAGGCUAAUACUGUUUGUGUAAUACAGUCAAAUCAAUUAUUGUUAUGUUUUUGUAAAUAAAAUAAUAAAAAUAACGUUACGAAUUUGUUGACUAAAUCAACAACCGUACACAACUUAUGUUUAGAAACCUGAAUAAGAGCCGAUACUUCUGACAGGUAUGCCACGGUUUUGAGAAGAUAGAAUACAAUGAGUUUUUAAAUUUAUAUCAGUACGCAACGAUAAAUCAUUGCUAACCAAAUACGAUGCGAA